UCCUCCUCAUAAGCAUAUAUCAGCCCAUCCAACGCCAAUUGCUUCCCAAUGCAUUGUUAUUUUGUACAUCUAUGUUGAAUCUAGAGUCCAGGUGGCUCUUUGCAUUCCCAGCACCACAGAUACCAUUUUCUUUUUCUUUCUAAAAUCUGAGAUUAUAUAGACACUUUCAUUUUCUUUUAAUGUUUUUCUAUUUUGUCCUCACCUAGGUUGGAGUCUCGAUCUCCGGGUAAACUGAGUCACUGCUCAUGGAACCAAGAAUUUAUAUGUACAAAG
rnacentral:lncRNA from 1 species